AGGGCUGCAGGACGGAGGCCUUAGUUGGAUGGUAAUAAACAGGAUGCUUGAGAAAAGGAUCUAACAAAAUUAUUACAACAGAACAUAGAAAUCAAUAACCAUUUGUUAAAAAUAGAUUGUCAGGUUUUAGUGGAUACACCAUGGCACUUGUCAAAAAGGAGAUGCAUGAAAUUCUCAGCCAGUGAGCAUCAGGAUAUUUCCAGAUUCUCACCCUUUUCUCUAAACAGCAGGCUGAUCUCAUCUGUUUAUGGCCAGCUGAUGUGAAUUGUCCCGUUUACCAGACAUAUGCUAGUGAGCUACCAUGAGACAGUCAUGGUCCACUCCACAUGAAAGAAUUGCUCCCAACCACUCCAAAGUAUCAUUUGGUGCUUCUGCUUCUGGUCAUGCAGCUGCAAUGAGUGCUAGUGGAAGCAAGUUACUCAUGCUGCAGUUCAUAUUAUUAAUGAACCUGAAGGAGGAUCUUCACAGACAGAGUACCCAGGGAUUCCUCAUUCAGAUACCAGAGGAACAUUGAGGACAUGGGAGAUUCUGUAUAGAUAGACAGAUAUUUUUAACCUGGCACAUUGUGGGAUGCUCUGAAAGCCACACAAUGCAUGCAAGAUUUGCAGCGCAUCCUUUUUGAACUGUGGACACCAGAACUGGACAUAGUAUUCCAGCAGUGGCUACACCAGUGCCAAAUACAGAGAUAAAAUAACUUCUCUACUCCUACUCAAGAUUUCCCUGUUUAUGCAUCCAAGGAUCAUAUUAGCCCUUUUGACCUGAGUAUCACACUGCGAGCUCAAGUUCAGCUGAUUAUCCACCAUGACCUCCAAAUAUUUUUCAGAGCCACUGCUUCCCAAGACAGAGUCCCCCACCUUGGGUUUGAUCCUUCCUCCAUAGACCAUCAGGCCUUACACGAACAAGAUUUAUUCUUGAUGUACCAAUAACACCUUUCCCAAGUUUUCCCAAGAUAAGAGGAACAAAGAGCAAAGAUGAUUUUUGGGAAGACAAAACACAGAUGUAAAAAAAAAAUUCACCUUGGUAGUGAAAUGUAUGAUGCUAUACCUGAAAAAACUCAGAACUGUCUCUUCUCAAAGGAUCAGGCACCAGCCCUGCAUGGCUCAUACACUACAGCACAGGUUCUGCUCCAAGCAAGGCAGCUGUCCCAGCUGCAGAGACCCCCAAGGUGCACAGGAAUGGGGCUCCCUCCAGCUCUGCUAGAAGGGAGCUGCGAUAAGCUGACUGGGGAGCUGUGGCAAGGAUUACAGAAGAAGGGGGUGUUGAAGAGGAGGGAGGCCUGAGAAGAAGGUUGGAGCUGGGAAACAUUAAGCUUUAAACCGAUACUUGCAGAAAAUUGCACCAGGGCGAAUUUGUUGUUCUGUCUAUCUAAGAUACUUAUAUGGUCCUCAUCACUGUAGUAUCUCUGAGUACCUUACAAUCUUUAAUGUAUAUAUCCUCACAGCACUCCUGUGAGAUAGGGCACUGCUAUUAGCCCCAUCUUACAGAUAGCGAACUGAGGCAUAGAGAGGAUGUCUGUGGCAGAGCAAGAACUGACCUUGGAUCUCCCACAGCGGAGACUAGUGCUCUAACCACUGGACCAUCCUUGGGAUAGCUUACUGGAUUUACCCAGAAUGCACUGAUACAAACAGGCAAUGCAGUGACUCUGGAUGUGCAAACUGCUGUUGUGGGGGAAAGGCUACUGUGUGGGCACAAGUUUAAUUGUGAUACUUGUAAUCAAGUUAAAGUGACCAUGUCUCUAGCCAGUUACAGAUCACAGCUGCAAUUGUAGCAGGGCUGGGCACUGAGGUGAGAUUCAGAGAAGAGAUAUCAGUACCAAGAUGACAACUGUAAGAGAAGUAAAUAGACUGAAUGUGACUGAGGGUAUAAUCUACACUGUACUGCAAGGGUGGAAGGUCCCAGGGGUCAGGCUCGAGCCUGAGCUUGAACAUUUACACAGCAAUUUAUUAACCCCACAGCCUGAGCCCCGCGAACCCAAGUCAGCUGACCCAGUCCAGUUGUGGCUGUGCCGCGGGUCUUUGAUGUAUCCUGUGUAAAUGUAUCCUAACUGGCUCAGGUGGAGGGAUCCAGUUCCAGAUACAUGAGGCAGAACUGCUGACCUUCUCCUGCCUGAGUGUGGAGUGUUAUGUAGGAGUGAACAGAGGGAACACAAGGACUGAAGAAGCAGAUUGAUUAGAGCUGGACAUAGUUGAGCUCAGACAUAAGAAAGAGCGAUUCCAGGAAUCUUGAAAACAGAGGGCAAUUCUGAAUGGAGUUCAGAGAUGAGCAGGGAGUCAGAGGUGAUAGAGGAUGUGAUGACAUGCUCCAACUUAUUGGAGGGAGGUUAUAUAGUGUUAACAGUAACCAGGCACUCCUUUGUCAUAUAGCAUGUGAUAAGAAGCAACUUAUUACACAUGUACCAAAAAAAGGAGAAGGAAAAGAAUAUAUUUCCAGGUAAAUCAAAGCAGGCAGUUCUCCAGAAAUUAGGUCAAAUUCUCUGCUCUCACUUAUGCUGAUAAAAUCUGCAAUUACAACUGAAAUUACUGGAGUUACUCUGCAUUUAUAGAAUUGGAUUUAGCCCAUUAUGGUUAUUUUACCACUAAGUGUUUAGAAGCAGCUAAAACAGAAGAACAUGAUAUAAUUUGGUAAGUUAUCUGAGAACAAUGAUUUAAAAAAGCCAUUGUGUGUGAAUUGCACUAAAGAGGGUUAGGAACAUCCUGGCCUUUCAAAUGCAUUUAAUAUAAAGCAGCGUGUUUCACAAUAAUUAAUGGAAAAAAGUAACAGUCCGAAUACAUAGCAACAAAACCUAUUAGUGCAAUGUAUGCACUGGAAGGGUGAAAGGGUCUUACCAAAAUC